rnacentral:rRNA from 1 species
UGGGGAAUAUUGCACAAUGGGCGCAAGCCUGAUGCAGCCAUGCCGCGUGUGUGAAGAAGGCCUUCGGGUUGUAAAGCACUUUCAGCGAGGAGGAAGGCGUUAAGGUUAAUAACCUUAGCGAUUGACGUUACUCGCAGAAGAAGCACCGGCUAACUCCGUGCCAGCAGCCGCGGUAAUACGGAGGGUGCAAGCGUUAAUCGGAAUUACUGGGCGUAAAAGCGCACGCAGGCGGUUUGUUAAGUCAGAUGUGAAAUCCCCGAGCUUAACUUGGGAACUGCAUUUGAAACUGGCAAGCUAGAGUCUUGUAGAGGGGGGUAGAAUUCCAGGUGUAGCGGUGAAAUGCGUAGAGAUCUGGAGGAAUACCGGUGGCGAAGGCGGCCCCCCUGGAC